AGCAGCCGCGGUAAUUCCAGCUCCAAUAGCGUAUAUUAAAGUUGUUGCAGUUAAAAAGCUCGUAGUUGAAUUUCGGGAUCAAUAUAUUGGUCAUGCUUAGGUAUGUACUGGUAUUAUUGAUUUCUCCCUUCUGAAGAACCAUAAUGUCAUUAAUUUGAUGUCAUGGGGAAUCAGGACUGUUACUUUGAAAAAUUAGAGUGUUUAAAGCAGGCUUUCGCUUGAAUACAUUAGCAUGGAAUAAUGAAAUAGGACGUUUGAUUCUAUUUUGUUGGUUUCUAGGAUCGACGUAAUGAUUAAUAGGGAUAGUUGGGGGCAUUAGUAUUCAAUUGUCAGAGGUGAAAUUCUUGGAUUUAUUGAAGACUAACUACUGCGAAAGCAUUUGCCAAGGAUGUUUUCAUUAAUCAAGAGCGGAAGUUAGGGGAUCGAAGACGAUCAGAUACCGUCGUAGUC
rnacentral:rRNA from 1 species